rnacentral:lncRNA from 1 species
UUGCAGGUAGACCUCACCCCAAACUCCUACGAGGGCCGAACUCCGAGCUCCUACAGCGACCCACUCUGAGUUUCAGCUAUAAAUUAUCCACUUCAAAUUUCUAUCACGAGCGGUCCAUGCCGGAUUCCCAUCGUAAGCCUUCAUUCGAGCUUCCAUUGCGGAUGAACCUCCCCAACGCCAUCCGACAUCCACCGCCGGUCGACCCUCUGUCGAAGUCUGCGCGAAACCAGACCGCGUCUGUGGAAAGCC